rnacentral:misc_RNA from 1 species
GUGAAUCAUCGAAUUUUUGAACGCAAAUUGCACUCUCCUCGGAGAGUGUGCCUGUUUGAGGGUCAGCCUAUAAAAAAUCGACAUCGUUGCUGUUUCGCGGUGGCGUUCGUCGGAAAUUGGGUCAUCUUAAAUCCUUUUGAUUUAGCGGCUUUAAAUUUUUCUUUUGUUCCAUUAAACGUUUUUAUGU